rnacentral:lncRNA from 1 species
AGCCUCUGCUAGCCCCUGGUUUCCUUCUCUUCUAGGAACACAUGAUUUUCUCUUCCUGAAGCAUGGGACCGAUAUUGUAGCUUACCCUCCAGGGCAGGAUAAUUUGCUCAUUGUGGAUUAGUUGCCUUCAGCAUAGAUGAAAACUCCUGAAAACAAUGGAAAUCAAGGAGUCAGAAUGAACGUCAAUGCCAUUGUUUUCAAUAAGCCUCACAAAUCAAGCAUGGAAAAGAGAUUGCUGGUGAGUGAUUAUAAAUGUGAUGUAAAGAGGAACUAUUGAAAAGUGAAAAAAGCUUUUUGGAAGAGUUUUUCGUGCUAAGGUUCUCAGAAGCUUUGAAGCCUUUCAUAGCUUUUUCUGCUUCCCAAUAUAGUUUGAUAACUAGGUAACAUGUGGAGUAAUUUUUCUCAAAUCAUAGAGAAAAUCUGGGUUCCACUAAGGAUAGAGACAAGGCAGGUGAAUUCUCUUCAAAUUAGGCCAUCUAAAAAGAGAAAAUGUUGGUCAAGUUUGAAUUGGUGGAGCCAAAAAUUCAUUCUAGCCCUGCGAUUGAUUAAAGUUAAGAAAAAUUAAUAAUCUGUGACAGAAGUUCUGCAAUUUAUAGCAACUCACACAAGAGCCUGCUGAAAUACAUUAUUACCUCCCUUUAAUAUUCUGAUGUGCCCAGCAGGAAAAAUAGAGUCAACACCCACCUCCCCACAAUGGCUUAAAUAAUUUACCAAUGAACUAACAGCACAUUUUUAAUCCUACCCUUGUCUCCUAACAUGCCAAUUUUCCUUGUGUCAGUUUACAUUUCUUCAGAAAUGCAAACUCACUUUGAAAUACACCUAAUUGGAAAGGUAAG